UCCAUAUCCCCGCCCCCCCCCCUCCAUAUCCCUCCACCCCCUGACCGGUCUCGCUCCACGUGCGGGCUUUUGGAGGGCGACGGGGGCGAGGUCGCUGCUGUCACCCACCGCACCGUCCGCCUCCGGGCCCCAUGGCCAACCUGUGCCGCUCCGUGCGGGCCCUCCUCGCGCGGGCCCACGCUGCCCGCCCACGCGGCCCGGAGUUGUGCACUGCCGCGACGCCGCACGAGCACCACCACGACCACCACGACCACGCGCGGCCUGGUGUCUCUGCCCGAGACGGUGCGGGGAAGCCGGCACGGCGGCUAGGCGAGGGUCCUUCGCUGCGGGACUUUGUACAGGCGUCCGUAGAGGGCGGUGGGGCAGACGAGGUGGACGAGGAGGAUGAGGACCUCACGCCGCCUUACCUGAGACCCGACGCUCUGUGGGGACACGGUCGCAAGGUUUACUUCGAGACGUACGGAUGCCAGAUGAACACGAGCGACACUGAGAUCGCGUGGGCCAUCCUGCAGAAGCAAGGCUACUUCCGAACAGACAACCUGGCAGAGGCGGAUGUCAUCUUGGCAGUAACGUGUGCCAUCAGGGACAAGGCGGAGCAGACGGUGUGGCGCCGGGUGGAGCGAUUCCGCCACCUCAAGCGUGAGCGGCAGAAACGCGGAGGGGCGGCCCUGCAGAUCGGCAUUCUGGGCUGCAUGGCGGAGCGGCUGAAGCGCGACAUCUUGGAUCGCGAGCGGGCGGUUGACGUCGUGGCCGGGCCCGAUGCCUACCGCGGCCUGCCUCACCUGCUGGCACGUGCCCGCUCCCACCAGGAGGCCAUCGACGUGGCGCUGUCGGUCGACGAGACGUACGCCGACGUCGUACCCCUCCGCGCCGACCCCAGCGCACCUUCCGCCUUCGUCUCGGUGAUGCGUGGCUGUAACAACAUGUGCACCUACUGCAUCGUCCCGUUCACCCGCGGACGGGAGCGGAGCCGCCCCCUGGCGUCCGUGCUGGCCGAGGUUGGGGUGCUUCUCCAGCAGGGCGUCAAGGAGGUCGUUCUCCUGGGUCAGAACGUCAACAGCUACUGCGACACCUCCCAGCCGGCCGCGGGCACCCCCCCGGAGGGCCCCCCCGACGGCGGGCCCUCGGCGCUGAGCCGGGGAUUUGGCUCCGUGUGCCGCCGCCUCACCCCCGCGCCGGACCGGAGGGAGGUGCGGUUUGCCGAGCUGCUGGCCGCGGUCUCGGAGCUCGACCCCGAGAUGAGGGUGCGCUUCACGUCGCCGCACCCCAAGGACUUCCCCGACGAGGUGCUACAGGUGAUCAGGGAGAGACCAAACAUCUGCAAGCAGAUCCACCUGCCGGCUCAGAGCGGCAGCUCCAGCGUGCUGGCCCGCAUGGGCCGAGGGCACACGCGAGAGGCCUACAUGGAGUUGGUGCAUCACAUCCGAGACAUGAUCCCAGGCGUGAGUCUGAGCAGCGACUUCAUCGCGGGCUUCUGCGACGAGACGGAGAGCGAUCACGAGGACUCGCUGUCGCUCAUCCGCGCCGUGGGCUACGACACCGCCUUCCUGUUCGCGUACAGCAUGCGCAAGAAGACGCGUGCGUCCCACCGCCUGCGGGACGACGUUCCGCCCUCCGUGAAGCAGCGGCGCCUCUCCGAGCUCAUCGCCGCCUUCCGAGAGUCGGCCUCCGACCUCAACGCUGCCAGGGUCGGCUCCACCCAGCUUGUGCUCGUUGAGGGGGCGAGCCGGCGGUCCCAGCUCGAGCUGUCCGGGCGGACGGACGGGAACGCUCGCGUGGUGUUCCCUGACGUGCUGCUGCCCGACGGCGCCGGUUCCCCGGCUCUCGCAUCCGCGCGGCGCGGAGACUACGUCGCCGUGAAGAUUACAUCGUCGAGCUCGCAGAGCCUGAGGGGCACGGCGCUUCACCGCACCACGCUGCGGGAAUUCCACGCCACGCCGGAUGAUGCCCCCUUCCCUCAUGGCGGUGGCGGCAAGUGACGGUGCGAAAGAAGUUCAACAUACCUACGUACGUCAACCGCACGGAACGUCUUCCAGCAGCGCGCUGCAAAGCCACAGGCACAGAAGUGCAAGCGCGGGAACGCUCUGCUGCACCACGUGGAGGGGGAGAAACGGUUCGAGCCGUGACUGGAUGAAACCCGACGCCGGUGCCGAACUGUGCCCACGGACGUCAGUGGCACAGCAUUUUAAAUUCGCCGCCCUCUUCAAAGUUGGAAGCUGAGGAGCGCAAGGCACGCGGGCGCGACCCGGGGACUUGUUUGCCAGUCGUUGCGAAUAAAUAUUUAUAGUGAGUGGGCGGA